rnacentral:lncRNA from 1 species
GGCUCUGAAGAGUCCUCCCAGAGAAGAGCAGAUUUCUAAUGUUUAGUGUCUGUGUUGGGUAGCCCUAUGUACAGAUGACAUAGAGAUGCAUUUAAAGCCUUCAGCUGUUGGGCUGAGGGCAGAACCCAGAAGCAGAACAACUUGCCUACCUGCUUCUCUGAGUAAAUGAGAGGAAAAGACUAAGAGCGCCUCUCCGGAUCUGAACUCUAAGCGGGGAGCAGUUGGGAAGCUGGUCACAGCGGCUUCUGGAAAUGCAGAAGGCUGCUCUGCCUUCACUACAGGGAAAUAGAAGGUCCCUCAUCUGUCCCCUGAAGAGCACUUUAUAUCACCAAGCAGACCCCUGGCACCUGCCAUUGCAGCUUCCAUUGCUCAGCCACGUGUCCCCACCACGACUACCUAGCUCCAAGGUCACAUGGCCUGCAAAAAGGAUCUACCAUUGGAGCCAAAGCUCACCCCACUGGAGCACUAAUGUUGAGCAAAUUGGCUUUCGAAUCAUACGUUUUCUUCACCAGGAGGGACAAGCUAUCAAUAGACACCUGGGACACGAUUCAGUCUGUUAUAACUGCAACCCUGACGCCAGAAGGAGCGUGCAGAGAACUUCCCUCCCUAGCUCCACUUCUACAAAAAUGAUUUACUGUAACUCUUCUGCAGUGCUUACACAACAAGUAAAGGUAGCGCCGG